AUGAACGCUGGCGGCGUGCCUAAUCCAUGCCAGUCGAGCGAACAGAUGAGGAGCUUGCUCCUCUGACGUUAGCGGCGGACGGGUGAGUAACACGUGGAUAACCUACCUAUAAGACUGGGAUAACUUCGGGAAACCGGAGCUAAUACCGGAUAAUAUAUUGAACCGCAUGGUUCAAUAGUGAAAUACGGUUUUGCUGUCACUUAUAGAUGGAUCCGCGCCGCAUUAGCUAGUUGGUAAGGUAACGGCUUACCAAGGCAACGAUGCGUAGCCUACCUGAGAGGGUGAUCGGCCACACUGGAACUGAGACACGGUCCAGACUCCUACGGGAGGCAGCAGUAGGGAAUCUUCCGCAAUGGGCGAAAGCCUGACGGAGCAACGCCGCGUGAGUGAUGAAGGUCUUCGGAUCGUAAAACUCUGUUAUUAGGGAAGAACAAAUGUGUAAGUAACUAUGCACGUCUUGACGGUACCUAAUCAGAAAGCCACGGCUAACUACGUG
rnacentral:rRNA from 1 species